rnacentral:lncRNA from 1 species
CCUUUGCAAGCUUUAAAGGAAAUUAUUUGUCUCAUAGAUAGGAUUAUUCCCUUUGUGGGUGAGCCCUGGCGAGAACCUCCGUCCUGAGCCAACUUCCUUAGCGGGAUUCUCACCCUGCCAGGUAAGAUCCCUCUGUUACCAGGAGCUCCAUAAAAUGCAAAUAAGUUUCAAUAUUCACUUAGGAAAAUAAAAAUGAGCAGUAAGUCAGCUAGGAGCAAAAGGAACGGGACAUUCAAAGGCUGUGCCCAAUGUCAGACAGAAGUAGCUUUGUAAUUCUCCCAGUGUAGGGCUGCAGGCACCUGGCGCUGGAGACCCGGCCUGGACGAGGCAGGGCUCAGGGCGCGGCUGGAGGGGCUCGCCCGGCGGGGCGCUGGAGCGGGAGAAGGGCGCCCUCUGCCGGGGGUGAGGAAGAUCAGUCCGCACGCGCGGUGCCUUGGUCUUGCAGCCUGUUCGAACCUCGCGCGAGGACAUCCACUUCUUCCACGGGGAAAGUAGGAGGGUGGGGGCAGAAAAACCAAACUCCUGCCAAGAAGGUGCUUUGCACGAGCAUUUUGCGACCCCAUCCCUUCAGCCCCGAACCUCCCCCUGGCAUAAGUGAAAGGACUGUAGUCAAUUGCAGAUGCUGUCAGGAAGCCAGGUGCGUCCUCACUCCCCAGCCCUAAAAUCCAAAGAAAGAAGAGAUUGUUUGAGACGAUCUGAAGAAAGGUCAGGUCCUAACAGAUCCACGGGACCUUCUUUUUCACCUUCCUUGUCUUGGGUUCUGGAGCACGGGCGCUGAAUCAGCUGAAUGCGGCCUGGGCAUCUGGAAGUGGUCCUGAGGGACACCUCGCGGUGCAGCCCCCGGGACGACCCAGGACACCCUGGACACCCUGGACACCCAGGCCGAGAGCCGGGACCCGCCCACGCCUCCUCACUGCUGCUCGAGGACCCAGACUUGUCCGCGAAGGGAAAUGAAGAGGCGCGGAAGGCUUGGAGCGUGAACCAAAAAACAAUGGGUGGGGAUCGUCUAACCAGCUCCCUUCCCUAGAAGGGCGGAAACGGCUUUCGAAGCAUCCGCGAUUCUCUUUAUUGAAUCUUGAGUGACACCUAGUGGCCCAUCCGCCUCACCGUCACGGCGAUGCUGGUUUCACUGGGCUUUUCAGAAGGCGUGCUGGCCUGCCCAUGGUUCUCGGCUAAAAGACUUUGGAGCGUAGGGUGCCGAUGAAGUUUCCUGGGACCUUCCGGAAGCACUUGCUGUCCCGUCAACAGCCCUGUACCUGCGAUGCAUGCAAUUCUAAUGAAAAUGCCCUUCUCGUCUGGAGGGCUUGCUUGAGCACAUCCUGAGCUCUCAGGCAGCAAAUAUAGAGUCGGGUGCUAUUCCGGGAGCUGGGCACACAAAGAUGACCAACGCUUGGUUUCUGAUCUCAAGAAUCUCACAGCCCAGCUGGGGGGAAAUGGACCAGUAGAAGAGUGUGUAUUUGAUGCUGUGGGGUAGAGGGGGUGGACCUAGCUCGGCCUAGAGACAUCAAGAAAGUCACCCUUGAGCUGAGUUUUGAAGAUUAGGCAGAAUUCUAAGAUGACCCCUGAAGAUUCUCAGCCCAUCCCCCUCGCAGUGUACACACACCUUUGCCCAGUUAUUCAAUCAAACAAUUUAGGUGCUUCUGUGAAGAGAAUUUGCAGAUGUAAUUAAAGUUCCCAAAUUAAUUGAUCUUAAGAUCUGGAG